rnacentral:misc_RNA from 1 species
UACGUAGGGGGCAAGCGUUGUCCGGAAUUAUUGGGCGUAAAGCGCGCGCAGGCGGUCCCUUAAGUCUGAUGUGAAAGCCCACGGCUCAACCGUGGAGGGUCAUUGGAAACUGGGAGACUUGAGUACAGAAGAGGAGAGUGGAAUUCCACGUGUAGCGGUGAAAUGCGUAGAUAUGUGGAGUAACACCAGUGGCGAAGGCGACUCUCUGGUCUGUAACUGACGCUGAGGCGCGAAAGCAUGGGUAGCGAACGGG